GAUGAACGCUAGCUACAGGCUUAACACAUGCAAGUCGCGGGGCAGCAUGGGGGUUGCUUGCAAUCCCCGAUGGCGACCGGCGCACGGGUGAGUAACGCGUAUCCAACCUGCCCUUCACCACGGGAUAACCCGGCGAAAGUCGGACUAAUACCGUAUGUUGUCCAUUGACGGCAUCCGAUUUGGACGAAAGGCUUGGCGGGGAGGGAGGGGGAUGCGUCCGAUUAGCCAGACGGCGGGGUAACGGCCCACCGUGGCUACGAUCGGUAGGGGUUCUGAGAGGAAGGUCCCCCACACUGGAACUGAGACACGGUCCAGACUCCUACGGGAGGCAGCAGUGAGGAAUAUUGGUCAAUGGGCGUAAGCCUGAACCAGCCAAGUAGCGUGCAGGAUGACGGCCCUAUGGGUUGUAAACUGCUUUUAUGCGGGGAUAAAGUGGCCCACGUGUGGGCUUUUGCAGGUACCGCAUGAAUAAGGACCGGCUAAUUCCGUG
rnacentral:rRNA from 1 species